rnacentral:rRNA from 1 species
GAUGAACGCUGGCGGCGUGCCUAAUACAUGCAAGUCGAACGCAUAGCGAAAGGUGCUUGCACCUUUCAAGUGAGUGGCGAACGGGUGAGUAACACGUGGACAACCUGCCUCAAGGCUGGGGAUAACAUUUGGAAACAGAUGCUAAUACCGAAUAAAACUUAGUGUCGCAUGACCCAAAGUUAAAAGGCGCUUCGGCGUCACCUAGAGAUGGAUCCGCGGUGCAUUAGUUAGUUGGUGGGGUAAAGGCCUACCAAGACAAUGAUGCAUAGCCGAGUUGAGAGACUGAUCGGCCACAUUGGGACUGAGACACGGCCCAAACUCCUACGGGAGGCUGCAGUAGGGAAUCUUCCACAAUGGGCGAAAGCCUGAUGGAGCAACGCCGCGUGUGUGAUGAAGGCUUUCGGGUCGUAAAGCACUGUUGUAUGGGAAGAACAGCUAGAAUAGGAAAUGAUUUUAGUUUGACGGUACCAAACCAGAAAGGGACGGCUAAAUACGUG